rnacentral:rRNA from 1 species
CGUAGGUGGCGAGCGUUAUCCGGAUUUACUGGGCGUAAAGGGUGUGCAGGCGGGCCAUUAAGUGGUGUAUGAAAUAUCCCGGCUCAACCGGGGGAAGUUAUGCCAGACUGGUGGUCUAGAGAGCGAGAGAGGGACGUGGAAUUCCGGGUGUAGUGGUGAAAUGCGUAGAGAUCCGGAGGAACCCCAGAGGCGAAGGCGGCGUCCUGGCUCGCAUCUGACGCUCAGACACGACAGCAUGGGGAGCGAACGGGAUUAGAAACCCCGGUAGUCCAUGCCGUAAACGAUGCCAACUAGGCGCUGGCGGUCUCAACCCCGUCGGUGCCGCAGCAAACGCGAUAAGUUGGCCGCCUGGGGAGUACGGUCGCAAGGCUA